AAGGAUCAUUACAGAAUAAACUUGACUGGGUUGUCGCUGGCUCUCUUGGGAGCAUGUGCACGCCUUGUCACUUUUAUAAUUUCCACCUGUGCACCCUUUGUAGUUCUGGAAUGACCCAGUCAAUGGGUCAGGUUGUGUGGGACUGCCGUGCUGCUCAAGUCGGCUUUCCUUUUGACAUUCCAGAUCUAUGUCUUUCUAUACCUAUACACGUAUGUUAAUGAAUGAAAUCUAAAGGCCAUAAAACAGCCUAUAUGAAACGUUAUACAACUUUCAGCAACGGAUCUCUUGGCUCUC
rnacentral:misc_RNA from 1 species